rnacentral:rRNA from 1 species
GAUGAACGCUAGCGAUAGGCUUAACACAUGCAAGUCGAGGGGCAGCACAAGGUAGCUUGCUAUCUGGGUGGCGACCGGCGCACGGGUGCGUAACGCGUAUGCAACUUGCCCUAUACAGGAGGAUAACACGUCGAAAGACGGACUAAUACUGCGUAUGCUCACAACUUGGCAUCAAGUGGUGAGGAAAGAAAUUCGGUAUAGGAUAGGCAUGCGUCCCAUUAGCUUGUUGGUGAGGUAACGGCUCACCAAGGCAACGAUGGGUAGGGGAACUGAGAGGUUUAUCCCCCACACCUGUACUGAGACACGGACCAGACUCCUACGGGAGGCAGCAGUGAGGAAUAUUGGUCGAUGAGCGCGAGCCUGAACCAGCCAAGUCGCGUGAAGGAUGACUGUCUUAUGGUUUGUAAACUUCUUUUAUACGGGAAUAACAAGAGUCACGUGUGACUCCCUGCAUUUACCGUAUGAAUAAGCAUCGGCUAACUCCGUG